UGAAUCAUGGGGGUGGUUCCUCCAUGCUGUUCUUGUGAUAAUGAGUGAGUUCUCACAAGAGCUGGUGGUUUUAUAAAGGGCUCUCCCCCCACUUCGUUCUGCACUAUUUUCUGCUGCCAGUGAAGAAGGAUGUGUUUGUGUCUUCUGCUCUGAUUGUAUGCUCCCUGAGUCCCUCCAGCUAUGCUGAACUUCUGGAUAUCUCCCAUUUCUUUAUCUGCCCUAAUUAAAUUGGUCAAAGUAUCCAGCACAGCAGUAGAUGGAAACAUGGAAGUGAAUAUUCUUGUCUUGUCCCUGAUCUUAAGAGGAAAGUGUUCCGUCUUUCGCCAUUAGGACCCCUUGGCAUGAUUACCUCUGGAGAACCACAGCAUGAACAAGAUUAUGGAGAAAGGAAUCAGCGGUGUGAUGUGGGGAGCAAUGAGAAACCCUGUGCUGUGAAGGCUCGCAUGCCAAAUAGAGAGUGAGUUCGAUGCCGUAUUGUGGAGAACCUCAAAUGUCAGAAUAAGGACUUCUUAUUUUAUUUAUUAGACAAUGGGGAGCCAUUCAAUGGGUGUACUUUAGAGCAAGCAGUGUUUGAGUUAGAUGAGUCAGGCAGCGGUCUGAGCAUCUGUUGUAAUGGAAAGGCUGGAAGACAAUCAGGAGGUUAUUAUAACAACCCAACCUUGAGGUCUUGAAUAUUAAUUCAAGCAGAACUUUACUUAACCAUGAUGCUUGUACCACAAAUCCUUGUGUAAAUGCAAUUACAGAUUAAAGCCAUCCAGCAACAGUAGCACUAAAUUUCGUUUCAUACAAAUGCAUAAACAAUGAGUACUAGUUUAUAAUUUUUUUUUUUUUGGGAUGGAAUUUUGCUCUUGUUACCCAGGCUGGAGUGCAAUGGUGCGAUCUCGGCUCACCACAGCCUCCGCCUUCUGGGUUCAGGCAAUUCUCCUGCCUCAGCCUCCUGAGUAGCUGGGACUACAGGCACACACUACCAUGACCAGCUAAUUUUUGUAUUUUUAGUAGAGUUGGGGUUUCACCAUGUUGACCAGGAUGGUCUCGAUCUCUUGACCUCGUGAUCCACCCACCUUGGCCUCCCAAAGUGGUAGAUUAUAGGCGUGAGCCACUACGCCCAGCCUAGUUUAUAAAUUACAUGGAUUAGUUAAGCUGUGCAAUUUUGCUCAUGUGUUUAUAUCGUGUGUUUGAUAUGUUUCAAAAAAUUGUCAUUUUACUUCAUAAACUGAAGCAUAAAAAAUAUCAUCUGCUAACAUGGUAGCUUUUAUCACUUUAAUGCUGGGUCCUUUCUGUCUCUGGUUCCUAUGUCCUCUCUAGAGCAAUAUUCCAUAAACGCCGAGUUCCAUGAAGCACAAUGACAAAUACAUUGCUUUGUAAGUUUGCUGUCUUGAUUGUUUCCACUUGCCUAAAAACAACCAGCAAAAAGUUCAUCCUUCAGGUUUUCAGCA